rnacentral:lncRNA from 1 species
GUUCGGACUCGAGGAACCGAGGACCCCAGCAGUGAGUCAGUCACUUCAGAGUCAGUAGAGCUUCAGCCAGAGGUGAGUGGAAUAACUCUUAUGCUUUUAAAUAAAUAAAUCAGUUUUAGCAUGAUUCACGCAUCAUGAAUGCCAUGAAAUAUAAUAGGGUGUUUGCAUUAGACUCACGAAUAUGUUGCAUAGCAUAAUAUGUUUGAUGAUGUGGAUGAAUGUUGAAUGAUCCUUUAGUCCCCCUAUGCUAUGAUGAUGAUGAUACGGUACGGAAGACCAGUGAGGCC